GAUGAACGCUGGCGGCGUGCCUAAUACAUGCAAGUCGAGCGAACAGAUGAGGAGCUUGCUCCUCUGACGUUAGCGGCGGACGGGUGAGUAACACGUGGAUAACCUACCUAUAAGACUGGGAUAACUUCGGGAAACCGGAGCUAAUACCGGAUAAUAUAUUGAACCGCAUGGUUCAAUAGUGAAAGACGGUUUUGCUGUCACUUAUAGAUGGAUCCGCGCCGCAUUAGCUAGUUGGUAAGGUAACGGCUUACCAAGGCGACGAUGCGUAGCCGACCUGAGAGGGUGAUCGGCCACACUGGAACUGAGACACGGUACAGACUCCUACGGGAGGCAGCAGUAGGGAAUCUUCCGCAAUGGGCGAAAGCUUGACGGAGCAACGCCGCGUGAGUGAUGAAGGUCUUCGGAUCGUAAAACUCUGUUAUUAGGGAAGAACAAAUGUGUAAGUAACUAUGCACGUCUUGACGGUACCUAAUCAGAAAGCCACGGCUAACUACGUG
rnacentral:rRNA from 1 species